UGGAUUUAAAACAGCUUAGUGGCGGACGGGUGAGUAACGCGUGGGUAACCUGCCUCACACUGGGGGAUAACAGUUAGAAAUAGCUGCUAAUACCGCAUAAGCGCACGGUUCCGCAUGGAACAGUGUGAAAAACUCCGGUGGUGUGAGAUGGACCCGCGUCUGAUUAGCCAGUUGGCGGGGUAACGGCCCACCAAAGCGACGAUCAGUAGCCGGCCUGAGAGGGUGAACGGCCACAUUGGGACUGAGACACGGCCCAAACUCCUACGGGAGGCAGCAGUGGGGAAUAUUGCACAAUGGGGGAAACCCUGAUGCAGCGACGCCGCGUGAGUGAAGAAGUAUUUCGGUAUGUAAAGCUCUAUCAGCAGGGAAGAAAGUGACGGUACCUGAAUAAGAAGCCCCGGCUAACUACGUGCCAGCAGCCGCGGUAAUACGUAGGGGGCAAGCGUUAUCCGGAUUUACUGGGCGUAAAGGGAGCGUAGACGGCAAGGCAAGUCUGAAGUGAAAGCCCGGUGCUUAACGCCGGGACUGCUUUGGAAACUGUUUGGCUGGAGUGCCGGAGAGGUAAGCGGAAUUCCUAGUGUAGCGGUGAAAUGCGUAGAUAUUAGGAAGAACACCAGUGGCGAAGGCGGCUUACUGGACGGUAACUGACGUUGAGGCUCGAAAGCGUGGGGAGCAAACAGGAUUAGAUACCCUGGUAGUCCACGCCGUAAACGAUGAUUGCUAGGUGUAGGUGGGUAUGGACCCAUCGGUGCCGCAGCUAACGCAAUAAGCAAUCCACCUGGGGAGUACGUUCGCAAGA
rnacentral:rRNA from 1 species